ACGAGUCUAAUUUUGUCAUGUUGACCACUUACUAAUGAAUGCUCUGCUUCGGCAGGAGAAUUCUAGUGUCGGACUUCUUGCAGGGGGUUCUGGACACGUUGUCUUCGCUGUGGCGGAGUAGAAACUUCAGGAGAUCUAAUUGGAGAGGCAAAUACCAAAUCAGGGAAAAUUAUUUGUGAUAAAGUAGUUAGAGGAGAUGAAUGUGCAAUAGGAAAUUCUCUGUGUGGGGAAGGUGAUGGUGAUUUCUGCCGAUUAGCAGCAACCGAAGAACGAUGUCUGGCUACAUGGGAAGGAUCAAGGAUCUCCCGGCGUCUAAUGGUCCUUUUUGGACGCCCUGCAGCUCUUGCAGCUACCGCUUCCACGUCGUUGCCAUCAUUAGAUCCACCUGCCACCACUACUUCAAGGUUUGCAUCAGUACCGCGGGAAGCCAAGGUUCCUUCCACCAUAGAAAAACUACCAUUCGCCUAGCGUUAAAGACUUACUGGAUCUGCAUCAUCGCUCUCAUCAUCCGCAAGAGUUUCUCUACCAACACCUUCAACGCACUUCGUACAACGAUAAUUGCUGGAAUGUUGUUUCCAUGUUAAAGUACCACCUCUAGCAAAGACAACUCCGCAACAGGCACGGUGAAGUGGAACUUUACAAACAAGACAUCGACAGAAUUGCUUCCGGCUGGAAACGUCACGGUCACAAUGAGAACACUUUGAAACAGAAGAGAAAGCCAUGAGACUUCUUAUAUAGGAAUGAUGCAACUCGAAGGAGGAGGAGUCACCGAACAUAUUGGUGGUCUUCGAUCUCUGAAUCGUAGAAAAUAUGGUGUAGGGGCUCGCCGAUUUUCCAGAAGUCUUGUUAGUGGUGUGUGAGAUGAUGGGUCCCUUGGGAGAUUACAUGGUAUGUGGCGGAUGUUAUGUGAUGAUACCGGCAAAAUUCCUUUUCUUGGUCCCGUCAACAGGUAAUAAUGGCGGUCUCUACAGAAAAGAUGAUGUGUAUAGGUCUACUUGGUUAUUUAUAACCAGUCACAAAAAGUAACAUUGGAUAAUGAUGAAUAAAAGAAAUAG